UACGGAGGGUGCAAGCGUUAUCCGGAUUCACUGGGUUUAAAGGGUGCGUAGGCGGGUAAGUAAGUCCGUGGUGAAAUCUCUGAGCUUAACUCAGAAACUGCCGUGGAUACUACUUGCCUUGAAUAUUGUGGAGGUGAGCGGAAUAUGUCAUGUAGCGGUGAAAUGCUUAGAUAUGACAUAGAACACCAAUUGCGAAGGCAGCUCACUACACAAUCAUUGACGCUGAGGCACGAAAGCGUGGGGAUCAAACAGG
rnacentral:rRNA from 1 species